rnacentral:rRNA from 1 species
CAAGGAAUCUUCCGCAAUGGGCGCAAGCCUGACGGAGCAACGCCGCGUGCGGGAUGAGGCCCUUCGGGGUGUAAACCGCUUUUCUUCCGGAAGAACCGGGUGUUGAGCCCGCUGACGGUACGGGAGGAAGAAGGACCGGCUAACUACGUGCCAGCAGCCGCGGUAAUACGUAGGGUCCGAGCGUUGUCCGGAGUUACUGGGCGUAAAGCGCGCGCAGGCGGCGGUGUUGGCCCGGCGUGAAAGCCCCCGGCUCAACCGGGGAGGGUCGUCGGGGACCGCACCGCUUGAGGGCGGUAGGGGCUGGUGGAAUGCCUGGUGUAGUGGUGAAAUGCGUAGAGAUCAGGCGGAACACCCGUGGCGAAGGCGGCCAGCUGGGCCGUCCCUGACGCUGAGGCGCGAAGGCGUGGGGAGCGAACGG